UGCGAUGGGGGGACGGAGAAGGCUAGGUGUACCAGCGAUCGGUAGUGCUGGGGAAGGGAUGUAGGCAGGACCCUUAGGCAAAUCCGGGGGUUCAAUGUCGAGACCCGAGACCAUCCGUACUUGUACGGAGAAGUCACUGAUGCCAUGCUUCCAAGAAAAGCCUCUAAGCUUCAGAUGUAAAGGGAUCGUACCCGAAACCGACACAGGUGUCAGGUCGAGAAGACCAAGGCGCAUGAGAGAACUCUGGUGAAGGAACUAGGCAAAAUAGUACCGUAACUUCGGGAGAAGGUACGCUGUUGAGGGUUAAGUAUUUACUACGUCAGCCCUUGGCAGCCUCAGUAACCAGGCCGCUGCAACUGUUUAUUAAAAACACAGCACUCUGCAAACACGAAAGUGGACGUAUAGGGUGUGAUGCCUGCCCGGUGCCGGAAGGUUAAUUGAUGGGGUUAGCGAAAGCGAAGCUCUUGAUCGAAGCCCCGGUAAACGGCGGCCGUAACAAUAACGGUCCUAAGGUAGCGAAAUUCCUUGUCGGGUAAGUUCCGACCUGCACGAAUGGCAUAAUGAUGGCGGCGCUGUCUCCACCAGAGACUCAGUGAAAUCGAAAUCGCGGUGAAGAUGCCGUGUACCCGUGGCUAGACGGAAAGACCCCGUGAACCUUUACUGCAGCUUUGCACUGGACUUUGACCUUACUUGUGUAGGAUAGCUGGGAGGCUUUGAAGCGCGGACGCCAGUUCGCGUGGAGCCAAUCUUGAAAUACCAGCCUGGUAAUGUCGAGGUUCUAACCAAGGUCCGUCAUCCGGAUCUGGGACAGUGUAUGGUGGGUAGUUUGACUGGGGCGGUCUCCUCCUAAAGAGUAACGGAGGAGUACGAAGGUGCGCUCAGCGUGGUCGGAAAUCACGCAAUGAGUAUAAAGGCAAAAGCGCGCUUAACUGCGAGGCCGACAUGCCGAGCAGGUACGAAAGUAGGUCUUAGUGAUCCGGUGGUUCUGUAUGGAAGGGCCAUCGCUCAACGGAUAAAAGGUACUCUGGGGAUAACAGGCUGAUACCGCCCAAGAGUUCAUAUCGACGGCGGUGUUUGGCACCUCGAUGUCGGCUCAUCUCAUCCUGGGGCUGAAGCAGGUCCCAAGGGUAUGGCUGUUCGCCAUUUAAAGAGGUACGCGAGCUGGGUUUAGAACGUCGUGAGACAGUUCGGUCCCCAUCUACCAUGGGCGUUGGAGACUUGAGAGGAUCUGCUUCUAGUACGAGAGGACCGAAGUGGACAUACCUCUGGUGUUCCGGUUGUCACGCCAGUGGCACUGCCGGGUAGCUAUGUAUGGAAGGGAUAACCGCUGAAAGCAUCUAAGCGGGAAGCCCACCUCAAGAUAAGGUCUCCCUGGGAACUUGAUUCCCCUGAAGAGCCGUUGGAGACUACGACGUUGAUAGGUUCGGUGUGGAAGCGCGGCGACGCGUGUAGCUAACGAAUACUAAUUGCUCGUGAGGCUUGACUAC
rnacentral:rRNA from 1 species